rnacentral:lncRNA from 1 species
CACUGUCUGUCAGAUACUAAUUGAAGUGGAUGGCAAAUACAAGCUUCAUGCUUUCUAUGAGAGGGGUGUGGCCACAGAAAUAACAGCUAAUUUUUUAUGUGAAGAGUAAAAGGGUUAUGUGGUCUGAAUCCGUGGCAGGAAUGUAGACAAGAUUUUCCCAUGAAGCAAGGAGUCUUGACGAACUUCAGAGUACACCUGCUGUUGGGUAACUGACAUUCAUAUUAUAGGCCAGAGAGAACUGGGGCGAGGAAGCACAAGCCUGUUUGCAGAUGCACUGUAGCUAACAAUCUCUGUCCUCAGUGUGGUUAUUAUAAUAAAAGGAAGGAAAGGCAUACCUGGACAGACAGACAAUACUGUGCCUCUGUGAUGGGCACCAGAAAGAUGGAGGAGAAUCCAAAGCUUUUCAAUUUCUCUAAAGAAGAUACUGUCCACCAAAAAUGGAACAAAGACAGUAAGAAGCCGAGGACCAAAGCACCCAAGGUUCAGCAUUCUGUUACCACACAUUCUGCAACACAAAGCUCAGUCUCUUGCUCUGAAGAAACAACACAUUAAGAAAAACAAGGGGGAACCUGUAGAAUAUGCUAAAGUUUGGCCAAGAGAAUGAAGGAAGCCAGAGAAAACUUCCAGAUGAGAUUGCCACCAGAUAGAUGGAGGCUGCCUUCACUGAGAGAUUUUAUUUAAAAUAAGUAUUUAAGGGUAGCAAAUAA